AAUGAACGCUGGCGGCGUGCUUAAGACAUGCAAGUCGUACGCGAAAGCCCGCAAGGGUAAGUAGAGUGGCGCACGGGUGAGUAAUACUUGGGUAAUGUACCCUCUCGCUGGGGAUAACCAGGCGAAAGCUUGGCUAAUACCGAAUGAUCCGUCCGGGGCUCUGGCCCUGGCCGGUAAAGCCGUAAGGCGCGAGUGGAAUAGCCCAAGUCCCAUUAGCUAGUUGGUAGGGUAACGGCCUACCAAGGCUUCGAUGGGUAGCUGGUCUGAGAGGACGAUCAGCCACACUGGUACUGACACACGGACCAGACUCCUACGGGAGGCAGCAGUUAGGAAUUUUGCGCAAUGGGAGAAAUCCUGACGCAGCAACGCCGCGUGAGGGAUGAAGGCC
rnacentral:rRNA from 1 species